rnacentral:rRNA from 1 species
ACUCAAAGGAAUUGACGGGGACCCGCACAAGCGGUGGAUUAUGUGGAUUAAUUCGAUGCAACGCGAAAAACCUUACCUACCCUUGACAUGCUAGGAAGUCCGCAGAGAUGUGGAUGUGCCCGAAAGGGAACCUAGACACAGGUGCUGCAUGGCUGUCGUCAGCUCGUGUCGUGAGAUGUUGGGUUAAGUCCCGCAACGAGCGCAACCCUUGCCAUUAGUUGCGACAUUUAGUUGAGCACUCUAAUGGGACCGCCGGUGACAAACCGGAGGAAGGUGGGGAUGACGUCAAGUCCUCAUGGCCCUUAUGGGUAGGGCUUCACACGUAAUACAAUGGUCGGUACAGAGGGUUGCCAACCCGCGAGGGGGAGCCAAUCCCAGAAAGCCGAUCGUAGUCCGGAUUGUAGUCUGCAACUCGACUGCAUGAAGCCGGAAUCGCUAGUAAUCGCGGAUCAGCAUGUCGCGGUGAAUACGUUCCCGGGUCUUGCACACACCGCCCGU